rnacentral:rRNA from 1 species
CAGUAGACGGGAAUACGAAGGGUGCAAGCGUUACUCGGAAUUACUGGGCGUAAAGCGUGCGUAGGUGGUGGUUUAAGUCCGUUGUGAAAGCCCUGGGCUCAACCUGGGAAUUGCAGUGGAUACUGGGUCACUAGAGUGUGGUAGAGGAUAGUGGAAUUUCCGGUGUAGCAGUGAAAUGCGUAGAGAUCGGAAGGAACAUCUGUGGCGAAGGCGACUAUCUGGGCCAACACUGACACUGAGGCACGAAAGCGUGGGGAGCAAACAGGAUUAGAUACCCCUGUAGUCCCUGUCUCUUAUACAC